rnacentral:rRNA from 1 species
GCAUAUCAAUAAGCGGAGGAAAAGAAAAUAACAAUGAUUCCUCUAGUAACUGCGAGUGAAGAGGGAAAAGCUCAAAUUUUAAAUCUGUUAGGUUUACCUAACCGAGUUGUAAUUUGAAGAAGCGUUUUCUGCGAAUUUGGUUAGUCCAAAUAGCUUUGGAAUAAGGUAUCAUGGAGGGUGAGAAUCCCGUUCGGUUAACCAAAGCGCUUUACGAUACGCUUUCAAAGAGUCAAGUUGUUUGGGAUUGCAGCUUAAAAUGGGAGGUAAAUUUCUCCUAAGGCUAAAUAUUGGCGAGAGACCGAUAGCGAACAAGUACCGUGAGGGAAAGAUGAAAAGAACUUUGAAAAGAGAGUUAAACAGUACGUGAAAUUGUUGAAAGGGAAACGAUUAAAGUCAGUCGUACCUACGAGUAAUCAGCCUACUCGAGUGCGAUUCUGUGGGUAUGAUAGAGCUUAAAAACCUUCAUGCUUACAAAUUGGUGCUCUUUGGGCGUACUUUCUCGUAUGGUAGGUUAACAUCAAUUUCGAUCGUUAUAAAAUGACUGGAGGAAUGUAGCUUCGAUCUCGGUUGAAGUGUUAUAGCCUUUGGUAGAUGUAAUGAUUGGGAUUGAGGAUUGCAACGGAUACCCUCUGGGCUAUUCGUCUGAUCUCUGGAAGUUACCUUGGUGUCAGAAAGCGUGUUUACGAUAUUAAGGUUGACGGCCAAUAGGUUAGAACAUGAUUAAAUUCGUUAAGGAUGUUGACGUAAUGGCUUUAAACGAC